UACGGAGGAUCCAAGCGUUAUCCGGAAUCAUUGGGUUUAAAGGGUCCGUAGGCUGUUUUUUUAAGUCAGAGGUGAAAUCCUGCAGCUCAACUGUAGAAUUGCCUUUGAUACUGAAAGACUUGAGUUAUUGUGAAGUGGUUAGAAUGUGUGGUGUAGCGGUGAAAUGCAUAGAUAUCACACAGAAUACCAAUUGCGAAGGCAGAUCACUAACAAUAUACUGACGCUCAGGGACGAAAGCGUGGGUAGCGAACAGGAUUAGAUAUCCUGGUAGUCCACGCCGUAAACGAUGGAUACUAGCUGUAUGUCUACCUCAGGUAGAUGUGUGGCUAAGCGAAAGUGAUAAGUAUCCCACCUGGGGAGUACGAUCGCAAGAUUGAAACUCAAAGGAAUUGACGGGGGCCCGCACAAGCGGUGGAGCAUGUGGUUUAAUUCGAUGAUACGCGAGGAACCUUACCAGGGCUUAAAUGUAACGGGACAGAUCUAGAGAUAGAUCCUUCUUCGGACUCAUUACAAGGUGCUGCAUGGUUGUCGUCAGCUCGUGCCGUGAGGUGUCAGGUUAAGUCCUAUAACGAGCGCAACCCCCAUCGUUAGUUGCCAACGAGUAAUGUCGGGAACUCUAACGAAACUGCCGGUGCAAACCGUGAGGAAGGUGGGGAUGACGUCAAAUCAUCACGGCCCUUACGUCCUGGGCUACACACGUGCUACAAUGGUCGGUACAGAGAGCAGCCACUACGCGAGUAGGAGCAAAUCUUUAAAACCGAUCUCAGUUCGGAUCGGAGUCUGCAACUCGACUCCGUGAAGCAGGAAUCGCUAGUAAUCGGAUAUCAGCCAUGAUCCGGUGAAUACGUUCCCGGGCCU
rnacentral:rRNA from 1 species